CAUGCAAGUCGACGGUGAAGCAGAGCUUGCUCUGUGGAUCAGUGGCGAACGGGUGAGUAACACGUGAGCAACCUGCCCCGGACUCUGGGAUAACAGUUGGAAACAGCUGCUAAUACCGGAUACGAGCUGCGAAGGCAUCUUCAGCAGUUGGAAAGAAUUUCGGUCUGGGAUGGGCUCGCGGCCUAUCAGCUUGUUGGUGAGGUAAUGGCUCACCAAGGCGUCGACGGGUAGCCGGCCUGAGAGGGUGACCGGCCACACUGGGACUGAGACACGGCCCAGACUCCUACGGGAGGCAGCAGUGGGGAAUAUUGCACAAUGGGCGAAAGCCUGAUGCAGCAACGCCGCGUGAGGGAUGACGGCCUUCGGGUUGUAAACCUCUUUUAGCAGGGAAGAAGCGAAAGUGACGGUACCUGCAGAAAAAGCGCCGGCUAACUACGUGCCAGCAGCCGCGGUAAUACGUAGGGCGCAAGCGUUAUCCGGAAUUAUUGGGCGUAAAGAGCUCGUAGGCGGUUUGUCGCGUCUGCUGUGAAAUCCCGAGGCUCAACCUCGGGCCUGCAGUGGGUACGGGCAGACUAGAGUGCGGUAGGGGAGAUUGGAAUUCCUGGUGUAGCGGUGGAAUGCGCAGAUAUCAGGAGGAACACCGAUGGCGAAGGCAGAUCUCUGGGCCGUAACUGACGCUGAGGAGCGAAAGGGUGGGGAGCAAACAGGCUUAGAUACCCUGGUAGUCCACCCCGUAAACGUUGGGAACUAGUUGUGGGGUCCAUUCCACGGAUUCCGUGACGCAGCUAACGCAUUAAGUUCCCCGCCUGGGGAGUACGGCCGCAAGGCUAAAACUCAAAGGAAUUGACGGGGACCCGCACAAGCGGCGGAGCAUGCGGAUUAAUUCGAUGCAACGCGAAGAACCUUACCAAGGCUUGACAUAUAGAGGAAACGGCUGGAAACAGUCGCCCCGCAAGGUCUCUAUACAGGUGGUGCAUGGUUGUCGUCAGCUCGUGUCGUGAGAUGUUGGGUUAAGUCCCGCAACGAGCGCAACCCUCGUUCUAUGUUGCCAGCACGUAAUGGUGGGAACUCAUGGGAUACUGCCGGGGUCAACUCGGAGGAAGGUGGGGAUGACGUCAAAUCAUCAUGCCCCUUAUGUCUUGGGCUUCACGCAUGCUACAAUGGCCGGUACAAAGGGCUGCAAUACCGUGAGGUGGAGCGAAUCCCAAAAAGCCGGUCCCAGUUCGGAUUGAGGUCUGCAACUCGACCUCAUGAAGUCGGAGUCGCUAGUAAUCGCAGAUCAGCAACGCUGCGGUGAAUACGUUCCCGGGUCUUGUACACACCGCCCGUCAAGUCAUGAAAGUCGGUAACACCUGAAGCCGGUGGCCCAACCCUUGUGGAGGGAGCCGUCGAA
rnacentral:rRNA from 1 species